rnacentral:rRNA from 1 species
UGUAAGCGUAUACCAAAGUUGUUGCAGUUAAAACGCUCGUAGUCGGAAUUUGGCAGUUCCGGAAGUGUGCACGUCGUGUGCGCACUUUGCGGGGACUGCUUUUGUGGUCUUGCGUAGGAUGAGGCACUUUCAUUAGUGAACGUCCUCACGCAACCACUCUUUACUGUGUGAAAAUCAGAGUGCUCAAAGCAGGCAUUUGCCGUGAAUGUAUUAGCAUGGAAUAAUAGAAUAGGACUCGGUUCUAUUUUGUUGGUUUGUUGGGACUGAGUAAUGAUUAAGAGGGACAGUUGGGGGCAUUUGUAUUCCGGCGCUAGAGGUGAAAUUCUUAGAUUGCCGGAAGACAAACUGCUGCGAAAGCGUCUGCCAAGGAUGUUUUCAUUGA